rnacentral:rRNA from 1 species
AUUGAACGCUGGCGGCAUGCCUUACACAUGCAAGUCGAACGGCAGCGCGGACUUCGGUCCGGCGGCGAGUGGCGAACGGGUGAGUAAUACAUCGGAACGUACCCUGUUGUGGGGGAUAACUAGUCGAAAGAUUAGCUAAUACCGCAUACGACCUGAGGGUGAAAGUGGGGGACCGCAAGGCCUCACGCAGCAGGAGCGGCCGAUGUCUGAUUAGCUAGGUGGUGGGGUAAAGGCCCACCAAGGCGACGAUCAGUAGCUGGUCUGAGAGGACGAUCAGCCACACUGGGACUGAGACACGGCCCAGCCUCCUACGGGAGGCCGCAGUGGGGAAUUUUGGACAGUGGGGGCAACCCUGAUCCAGCAAUGCCGCGUGUGUGAAGAAGGCCUUCGGGUUGUAAAGCACUUUUGUCCGGAAAGAAAUCGCGCUGGUUAAUACCUGGCGUGGAUGACGGUACCGGAAGAAUAAGCACCGGCUAACUACGUGCCAGCAGCCGCGGUAA